GCUCUUCUUGUUACAAUUCAACCCCCCCACACCUUUUUUUUUUUUUUUCUCAUCCUAUUUUUUUUUUUUUUUUGUUAUGCUUCUAUUAUCAAGCCCUCAGUCCCCCUCUGCAAAUUAAAGCAUUUAAAGAAGAGGGAGGGGGAGAGGAGGAAGGGAAGAGGGGGGGUUGGAUGCAGGAGGAGC